rnacentral:rRNA from 1 species
AGAGAGAGACAUGCGCGCAUAUCAAUAAGCGGAGGAAAAGAAACUAACUAGGAUUCCCUCAGUAACGGCGAGUGAAGCGGGAAGAGCUCAAAUUUGAAAUCUUAAAGGGUUCUACCUUGACGAAUUGUAGUUUAAAGAAGUGUUUUCUGUUGGAGGUUUUGGUAAAAGUUCUUUGGAAUAGGACAUCAUAGAGGGUGAGAAUCCCGUAUUUGACCAUUAUUUUCAGCUGUGUGAUACACUUUCAAAGAGUCGGAUUGUUUGGGAAUGCAGUCCAAAAUGGGUGGUAAAUUUCAUCUAAAGCUAAAUAUUGGCGAGAGACCGAUAGCGAACAAGUACCGUGAGGGAAAGAUGAAAAGAACUUUGAAAAGAGAGUUAAACAGUACGUGAAAUUGUCAAAAGGGAAGCGUUUGACACCAGUGUUGUUUUCUCGAAAAUCAAUUAAAAAAGGCAGGAUUUUGUGUUGUAUUGACUUUAUCAGCUUUCUGCACUCUUUUCUUGUCUUUUUUAAUGCACUUUUCGUUUAACAAGUCAACAUCAAUUUCUUUUGUUGUAAAAGGGUCAUUGGAAGGUGGCUUUCUUUUCGGAGAAAGUGUUUAUAGCCUUUGGCCUCUGCAAUCGGAGAGAUUGAGGUCUGCAGCGUAGAUCCUUCGGGGUUAGAUACAUUUGUGCUAAGUUAUAGCCUUUCAUAGACAACUUGUUGACUAUGAUCAGUCAUGUAGCUUACUCGCUUAUGCUAUUUUACCUACGCUUAGGAUGUUGAUGUGAUACUGCGAGCA